rnacentral:lncRNA from 1 species
UUUGAAUAAGAAACUUAAAUUGAUUUCUUAUCUCUCGUGCAGAGGCUAAUUCAAAUAAUUGAACCAUCUCACUUUCUGAAAUACACUUCAAUUCCAUUUUCUUUACAUAACAUUUUAAAUAUUUUGUAAUAUCCUUUCCUUCAAAUUGAUCGAUCUUGUCCACGACCGCUUAUAAUGCUUUGUUAGCCAUACUCUCUUUGCGAUCUUUAACCUGUUGCUCUUGUUGUUGCAUGAAUAAGGUCAAAGCUUCUAACAUGCUUGUGGAGUUGGGAUCAAAAUGUAUACCUUGUCCUCCAAAUGAAGGACUAUCCAACUCUACUUGAAGCACUAUCCAAAUUGCCUCCUUCCAUUUUCCUUUAAUUCCUUCUCCAAAAUUCAAAUAAAAAAAAUAAUAAUAAAUUCCUUCCACCUCAAGCGUUUCACGUCGGGUUCACCAAAUAUGUUGUAAUGUGUGAAGUCUUGCUUGAGAAUGCUCCGAGCACCUGGCUUUAGAAGAAAGAAUAGAAAUUGCGAUAACAAAAUCCUAAAUAGAAUACUAACAAUGUUCUAAUUAGACUAUAAUAAUGGUAAACAAACGUAAUCAAAUUCAAAACAACUCAAAGAAAUUUCAAACAAACAAUAAAAUUCUUAAAAAAAUAUUAGAAUGAUCACAAAUUUUAUUCAAAUAUAUGUCAAUUCAACCUUAAUUUAAUUCUAGUUAAAACCCUAUUGAAUUUCACUCAACUUUAGACCAAACCUCAUUAAAUCUUAAACCCUAAUAAUUCCUAAACCCUAAGUCAAAUC